CCUACGGGUGGCAGCAGUGGGGAAUAUUGGACAAUGGGGGCAACCCUGAUCCAGCCAUGCCGCGUGUGUGAAGAAGGCCCUCGGGUUGUAAAGCACUUUCAGUGAGGAAGAACGCCUUGUGGUUAAUACCCAUCAGCAAAGACAUCACCCACAGAAGAAGCACCGGCUAACUCCGUGCCAGCAGCCGCGGUAAUACGGAGGGUGCGAGCGUUAAUCGGAAUUACUGGGCGUAAAGCGCGCGUAGGUGGCUUGAUAAGCCGGAUGUGAAAGCCCCGGGCUCAACCUGGGAACUGCAUCCGGAACUGGCAAGCUAGAGUGCAGGAGAGGGAGGUAGAAUUCCAGGUGUAGCGGUGAAAUGCGUAGAGAUCGGGAGGAAUACCAGUGGCGAAGGCGGCCUUCUGGACUGACACUGACGCUGAGGUGCGAAAGCGUGGGUAGCAAACAGGAUUAGAUACCCUAGUAGUC
rnacentral:rRNA from 1 species